rnacentral:rRNA from 1 species
CCUACGGGGGGCUGCAGUGGGGAAUAUUGCACAAUGGGCGCAAGCCUGAUGCAGCCAUGCCGCGUGUGUGAAGAAGGCCUUCGGGUUGUAAAGCACUUUCAGCGGGGAGGAAGGCGUUAAGGUUAAUAACCUUGUCGAUUGACGUUACCCGCAGAAGAAGCACCGGCUAACUCCGUGCCAGCAGCCGCGGUAAUACGGAGGGUGCAAGCGUUAAUCGGAAUUACUGGGCGUAAAGCGCACGCAGGCGGACUGUCACGUCGGAUGUGAAAUCCCCGGGCUCAACCUGGGAACUGCAUUCGAAACUGGCAGGCUAGAGUCUUGUAGAGGGGGGUAGAAUUCCAGGUGUAGCGGUGAAAUGCGUAGAGAUCUGGAGGAAUACCGGUGGCGAAGGCAGCUGCCUGGGCGACGUGUGACGCUGAGGCGCGAAAGCGUGGGGAGCAAACCGGAUUAGAUACCCUAGUAGUC